AGAGUUUGAUCAUGGCUCAGAAUGAACGCUGGCGGCGUGCUUUACACAUGCAAGUCGAGCGAGGCGGGUAGCAAUACCCAGUCGAGCGGCGAACGGGUGAGUAACGCGUGGAUUAUCUGCCCUGAGGUGGGGGAUAACCCGGGGAAACUCGGGCUAAUACCGCAUAUGACCGGGAGGUCAAAGGGGGCCGCAAGGCUUCCGCCAUGGGAGGAGUCCGCGUUCGAUUAGCUAGUUGGCAGGGUAACGGCCUACCAAGGCGACGAUCGAUAGCCGGCCUGAGAGGGUGAUCGGCCACACUGGAACUGAGACACGGUCCAGACUCCUACGGGAGGCAGCAGUGGGGAAUUUUGCGCAAUGGGCGAAAGCCUGACGCAGCAACGCCGCGUGGAGGAUGAAGGUCUUUGGAUUGUAAACUCCUGUCAGCAGGGAAAAAGCAAAUCGGGUUAAUACCCCGGUGAGUUGAUUGUACCUGCAGAGGAAGCCCCGGCUAACUCUGUGCCAGCAGCCGCGGUAAUACAGAGGGGGCAAGCGUUAUUCGGAAUUAUUGGGCGUAAAGGGCGCGUAGGCGGCAUGGCAAGUGGAAGGUGAAAUCCCUCGGCUUAACCGAGGAACUGCCCUCCAAACUCUUUGCUUGAGGCCGGGAGAGGUGAGUGGAAUUCCCAGUGUAGCGGUGAAAUGCGUAGAUAUUGGGAGGAACACCAGUGGCGAAGGCGGCUCACUGGACCGGUUCUGAGCUGAGGCGCGAAAGCGUGGGGAGCAAACGGGAUUAGAUACCCUAGUAGUCC
rnacentral:rRNA from 1 species